rnacentral:lncRNA from 10 species
AUAGAAUGAUUUAUAUUCCUUUGGUUAUAUACCCAGUAAUGGGAUUGCUGGGUCGAAUGGUAUUUCUGGUUCUUGGUCUUUGAGAAAUCACCACAACAUCUUCUACAAUGGUUGAACUAAUAUUCACUCUCACCAAAAGUAUAAAAGCAUUCCUAUUUCUCCACGGCCUCGCCAGCAUCUGUUGUUUCUUCACUCUUUAAUAAUUGCCAUU